rnacentral:rRNA from 1 species
UACGAAGGGUGCAAGCGUUACUCGGAAUUACUGGGCGUAAAGCGUGCGUAGGUGGUUUGUUAAGUCUGUUGUGAAAGCCCCGGGCUCAACCUGGGAAUGGCAAUGGAUACUGGCAAGCUAGAGUGCGGUAGAGGGUAGUGGAAUUCCCGGUGUAGCGGUGAAAUGCGUAGAUAUUACCAGGAACACCAAUGGCGAAGGCAGCUUGCUGGGCUACUCCUGACACUGAGGUACGAAAGCGUGGGGAGCGAACAGG